AGAGUUUGAUCCUGGCUCAGGAUGAAUGCUGGCGGCGUGCCUAACACAUGCAAGUCGAGCGGUAACAGGUCUAGUUUACUAGACGCUGACGAGCGGCGGACGGCUGAGUAACGCGUGGGAACAUACCCCAAAGUGAGGGAUAAGCAUCGGAAACGGUGUCUAAUACCGCAUAUGAUCUUCGGAUUAAAGGAUUUAUCCGCUUUGGGAGUGGCCUGCGUACGAUUAGAUAGUUGGUGAGGUAAAGGCUCACCAAGUCGACGAUCGUUAACUGUUCUGAGAGGAUGAUCAGUCAGACUGGAACUGAGACACGGUCCAGACUCCUACGGGAGGCAGCAGUGAGGAAUCUUCCACAAUGGGCGAAAGCCUGAUGGAGCAACGCCGCGUGCAGGAUGAAGGCCUUCGGGUUGUAAACUGCUUUUAUAAGUGAAGAAUAUGACGGUAACUUAUGAAUAAGCACCGGCUAACUACGUGCCAGCAGCCGCGGUCAUACGUAGGGUGCAAGCAUUAUCCGGAGUGACUGGGCGUAAAGAGUUGCGUAGGUGGUUAGUAAAGUGAAUAGUGAAAUCUGGUGGCUCAACCAUACAGACUAUUAUUCAAACUCACUAACUCGAGAAUGGUAGAGGUAACUGGAAUUUCUUGUGUAGGAGUGAAAUCCGUAGAUAUAAGAAGGAACACCAAUGGCGUAGGCAGGUUACUGGACCAUUUCUGACACUGAGGCACGAAAGCGUGGGGAGCGAACCGGAUUAGAUACCCGGGUAGUCCACGCCGUAAACUAUGGAUACUAGCUGUUGGAGGUAUCGACCCCUUCAGUAGCGAAGCUAACGCGUUAAGUAUCCCGCCUGUGGAGUACGGUCGCAAGACUAAAACAUAAAGGAAUUGACGGGGAUCAGCACAAGCGGUGGAUCG
rnacentral:rRNA from 1 species